rnacentral:rRNA from 1 species
AAACCUACGGGAGGCAGCAGUGGGGAAUAUUGCACAAUGGGGGAAACCCUGAUGCAGCAACGCCGCGUGAAGGAGGACGGUUUUCGGAUUGUAAACUUCUGUUCUUAGUGAAGAAGAAUGACGGUAGCUAAGGAGCAAGCCACGGCUAACUACGUGCCAGCAGCCGCGGUAAUACGUAGGUGGCAAGCGUUGUCCGGAAUUACUGGGUGUAAAGGGAGCGCAGGCGGGAAGCCAAGUCAGCUGUGAAAACUACGGGCUUAACGUGUAAACUGCAGUUUAAACUGGUUUUCUUGAGUGAAGUAGGG